rnacentral:hammerhead_ribozyme from 1 species
ACCCAACUGACGGGUUCCAAAUAGGACGAAAUGGGCAUCGUGGAU